UACGUAGGUGGCAAGCGUUGUCCGGAUUUACUGGGCGUAAAGAGCGCGCAGGCGGUCGUUCAAGUCGCGUGUGAAAGCCCCCGGCUCAACUGGGGAGGGUCACGCGAUACUGAUCGACUCGAAGGCAGGAGAGGGUGGUGGAAUUCCUGGUGUAGCGGUGAAAUGCGCAGAUAUCAGGAAGAACACCAAUGGCGAAGGCAGCUCUCUGGGACGGUACUGACGCUGAGACGCGAAAGCGUGGGGAGCGAACAGG
rnacentral:rRNA from 1 species